AAAAACCACCGUUGUUAUUCAACUACAAGAACCCUUA
rnacentral:tRNA from 5 species